rnacentral:rRNA from 1 species
UACGUAGGGUGCGAGCGUUAAUCGGAAUUACUGGGCGUAAAGCGUGCGUAGGUGGUUCGUUAAGUCUGAUGUGAAAGCCCUGGGCUCAACCUGGGAAUGGCAUUGGAUACUGGCGAUCUAGAGUGCGGUAGAGGGCAGUGGAAUUCCCGGUGUAGCAGUGAAAUGCGUAGAGAUCGGGAGGAACAUCUGUGGCGAAGGCAGCCCCCUGGGUCAACACUGACGCUCAUGCACGAA